CAGACCUCUGAUCAGGGAAGACUACCCGCCGAGUUUAAGCAUAUCACUAAGCGGAGGAGAAGAAACUAACCAGG
rnacentral:rRNA from 1 species